rfam:Ovis aries breed Texel chromosome 3, whole genome shotgun sequence.
UCCCUGGUGGCUGAGAGGUUAAAGCGUCUGCCUGCGAUGCGGGAGACCUGGGUUCAAUCCCUGGAGAAGGAA